ensembl:lncRNA
GCUUAGCACAGAGUUUGGCACUUGUUAUGGGCUGAAUUGUUUCCCCCUAAAACUCAAAUGUUGAAGUCCCAACUCCCAGGACCUCAAAACAGGACUGUGUUUGGAGACAGGGCCUUAAGGACAUAAUUAAUUUUCCCCCCAGCUUUAUUGAGAUAUAAUUGACAUAUAACAUAUUGAGAUAUAAUUUUCAUAUAACAUAUAAUUGACAUAUAAUGUGUACCUUAGUUGUACAUUAAGGUGUAUAAUGUGAUGAUUUGAUACACAUAUAUUGGGAAAUGUGGGUUUUUUUAAAGAUUGGCACCUGAGCUAACAUCUGUUGCAAAUCUCUUUUUUUUCUUCUUCUUCUUCUUCUCCCCAGAGCUCCCCAGGACACAGCUGUAUCUUCUAUUGCAGGUCCUUCCACUUGUGCUGUGUGGGACACUGCCCUAGCAUGGCCUGAUGAGCAGUGCUAGGUCUGCGCCCAGGAUCUGAAGCCGUGAAACCCUGGGCCAGCCUUGUGAAAUGUUUACCACAGUAAGAAGAGGAUAUGAGGACACAGACACGCACAGAGGUACGACCAUGUGAGGACACAGGGAGAAGACGGUGUCUGCACGCCCAGGAGAAAGGCCUCGGGAGGAAUCAGCCCUGCCAACACCCUGACCUCGGACCUCCAGCCUCCAGGACAAGGAGAGAAGGUGGAUGUAAGCCGUCCCGUCCGGGCGCUUUGUUAUGGCGGCCCUCGAAAACUCCUACAACACAGUGGACCCUCCACACCUAUUUCUUAAACUGAAAUUAGAUCGGAAUGAGAGAGCUGACAAGAUUCUCUUUUAAUGUUUUGCAUCUAUUUGCUGUGUCUUAAAAGAUCCUAAGGCAUUCUCAAAUCUGAACACAAAUCUUAAAUAAUUCCCAGACCUGUAAGACUAAAAGACUCCCAGGCAUUCAUCGAUUUCUGGGACAAAACCAACCAAGUGUGUGUUUCGGCACAACUGACUCUAGAACCGCACACCCUUCCAGUCGUUUUCUAACAGCUAGAUCUUAAGUUAACACGAGGGAGGCCAUUUUAGGGAAAGGAAGCAACAUUGUAACUGUACAAGACCCUGACUCACUUGUCUCUGUGGAUACAUUCUAGCCUGCGCGGAGCCUAGAUGAUCAAGCACCUCUCACUUUUACAAAAUAGGUGAUCUCUAGUUCUACGACUCUUGCUUACCUAUAUCUCCCAGCUGUGAUAAGACGACAACUUUGUCCCCUGAGUUCCCCAGGAACGUGACGCCCUCCAGAAAUAAAAUUCUGCGUUGGUACCCGUCACGAAUGACAGAAGGAAGAGAUCCCUAAACCCCUCCUUCCCCGCCCCUCUCCCCUGUGUAACCGCCUCAAGAUGCUGUACGCUUUUAAGAUGGUUGUUUAGGACACUAGUCCAGCAUCUUGCGAUUAUGCUAGCUAAUCCUAUAAACUUUCCUUUCUGAACCACUGGCUUGUUUGCAAUUGAUUGGCACCUGAUUGCAGCGAGCACAACCAGCCCCUAUUUGCUCCGUUACAGUUCGCCUAGAACAGAACAAGCACGAUCGUGCGGGCGACGCGGCAACGAGACCCUGCGGAGCCCCUGGCGGCCUGGCCCCCGGGAGGAGGGCGGGGCGCGCGGGGCAAAGGGCGGCGCUGCCCGCGCGCGGGGCCACCGAGCACGUCCCCGGCCGGGACGAGGCGUCAUGUGUGACGUGGACUCCGUGUGCGACGCGGUGUCGUGACGUGGACGUCACGUGUGACGUGGUGUGUAAGAACGAGGCAUCCAGCCUUCGUCUCGGGAAGCGCAGGGGACAGAGGAGCAGGCUGAACGGCAGCGGCGGGCUGGGGCCGCGUCCGCCUGGUCGGCGGGAGCCCGGGGUGGGACGCGGGACGGCGGCCGGACCGCAGGAACCGGCUGUAAAGAGCACUUCCGGGCCACCGAGGCAGCGCUCAUACGUCACCCUCCACUUCCGGGAGGGCUGGGAAUCCCUCCCAAUUAAAAGUUAGGAAAAAGUGAAUCAUCCUCGAACUUUGGUGACUUAAACGAGGAGAUAUAACCAGUUUCUAUACUUGUUUAGGGACCGAAAAAACCAGGGGAGACACCCCGCGUUCCCCCGCGCCGCCGUGCCGACUUCCUAAUCGACGUCGCCCUCGGCCUUUCCCUCCCCGCCGAGCUCCGCCCCCGUCUUCGCCUCUGGCCAAUCUCG